rnacentral:misc_RNA from 1 species
AACGCACGAGACCUGCGGACCUGCGGAAGGAUCAUUAAUGGGAAGCUGCCCCUCGUGGGUAGACCUCCCACCCUCUGUGAACUUACCUUUGUUGCUUUGGCAGGCCCGUCCUCUGGACCGCCGGCUUCGGCUGGCCCGUGCCUGCCAGAGGAUUCCAAACCCUGUCUGUCAGUGUUGUCUGAGUCUAUAUGAAAUCGUUAAAACUUUUAACAAUGGAUCUCUAGAUCGGAAGAGCACACG